rnacentral:rRNA from 1 species
UACAGAGGGGGCAAGCGUUGUUCGGAAUUACUGGGCGUAAAGGGCGCGUAGGCGGCCUGUUAAGUCGAACGUGAAAUCCCCGGGCUCAACCCGGGAACUGCGUCCGACACUGGCAGGCUUGAAUCCGGGAGAGGGAUGCGGAAUUCCAGGUGUAGCGGUGAAAUGCGUAGAUAUCUGGAGGAACACCGGUGGCGAAGGCGGCAUCCUGGACCGGUAUUGACGCUGAGGCGCGAAAGCCAGGGGAGCAAACGGG